rnacentral:rRNA from 1 species
UACGGGGGGGGCAAGCGUUGUUCGGAAUUACUGGGCGUAAAGGGCUUGUAGGUGGCCAACUAAGUCAGACGUGAAAUCCCUCGGCUUAACCGGGGAACUGCGUCUGAUACUGGACGGCUUGAAUCCGGGAGAGGGAUGCAGAAUUCCAGGUGUAGCGGUGAAAUGCGUAGAGAUCGGGAGGAACAUCUGUGGCGAAGGCGGCCAUCUGGACCAGCACUGACACUGAGGCACGAAAGCGUGGGGAGCAAACAGG